GUGUUUUUGUCGUCUCUGGUCUGCCCCCGGGGGUUUCCUUUUUUAAAUCCCCCCAUAGGAGGAAAAGGAACCAACAGGGAUUGCCUUAGUAACGGCGAGUGAAGCGGCAAAAGCUCAAAUUUGAAAUCUGGCACUUUCAGUGUCCGAGUUGUAAUUUGAAGAAGGUAACUUUGGAGUUGGCCCUUGUCUAUGUUCCUUGGAACAGGACGUCACAGAGGGUGAGAAUCCCGUGCGAUGAGGUGUCCAAUUCUAUGUAAAGUGCUUUCGAAGAGUCGAGUUGUUUGGGAAUGCAGCUCUAAGUGGGUGGUAAAUUCCAUCUAAAGCUAAAUAUUGGCGAGAGACCGAUAGCGAACAAGUACAGUGAUGGAAAGAUGAAAAGAACUUUGAAAAGAGAGUGAAAAAGUACGUGAAAUUGUUGAAAGGGAAGGGCUUGAGAUCAGACUCGGUAUUUUGCAAGCCUAUCCUUCGUGGAGAGGUUUAUUAGCAGCUUACCGGGCCAGCAUCGGUUUGGAUGGUAGGAUAAUGGCAUUGGAAUGUGGCUCCUCGGAGUGUUAUAGCCUUUGUUGAUACUGCCUAUCUAGACCGAGGACUGCGUCUUGACUAGGAUGCUG
rnacentral:rRNA from 1 species